ACCGUGGCUCAGUUCAGAUCGUAGGCUGCAACUCGCCUACGUGAAGGCGGAAUCGCUAGUAAUCGCAGGUCAGCAUACUGCGGUGAAUACGUUCCCGGGCCUUGUACACACCGCCCGUCACACCAUGGAAGUUGGCCACGCCCGAAGCCGUUACUCCAACCCUUGUGGAGGAGGACGUCGAAGGUGGGGCUGAUGACUGGGGUGAAGUCGUAACAAGGUAUCCGUACCGGAAGGUGCGGAUGGAUCACCUCCUAACAGGGAGACAACACAAUGAUUUUGAUGCCUGAGUGCUUUUAUUCUUAGGCCGAAAUCCUGUCACCUUAGGUCGAUCGGUACCUCAGCUUUGAAGUCAAGGAUCAGCAGCAAUGUUGAUUGCUUGAUGGAGAUUUUCAGUUCCUAAACUUUGUCUAGGUCACACCCCAAAAGGGAUGAGACUCCUGGGCCAUUAGCUCAGGUGGUUAGAGCGCACCCCUGAUAAGGGUGAGGUCCCUGGUUCAAGUCCAGGAUGGCCCAUUCGGUGUUGGGGGUUUAGCUCAGUUGGUAGAGCGCCUGCUUUGCAAGCAGGAUGUCAGGAGUUCGAGUCUCCUAACCUCCACUGACCGAACUUGAUUCCCAUCUCCAAUUCUUUUGGAGUUGAGCUCGAUUGGAGUGUGAUUUAGAUGUGUCCGCUGGAUGACCCCAGCUUCCUGUCAUUCCAAGUUUUAGGUUGAUGCCUUGAAUUUGGUUGAUAAGAUGCUGGGC
rnacentral:misc_RNA from 1 species